rnacentral:tRNA from 1 species
CCAUUAUGGGAUAAUCAGUAUCCUGUCUUUAACUUAAAAGGUUAAUGCUUGAAUAGCUUCAUAAUGGA